GAGACGAAAGGAGACAGAGGAGAGAGGACAGAGGAGAAGGGGGACAGAGACAAAGAGGAGGGUGGAGAUAGUCAAAAGGAGAAUGAAUCAAACGGCUUAACUAUGAGAAGGACUAUUAAGCUAAAAAGUAA
rnacentral:lncRNA from 1 species